UUAAGUUCAGCGGGUAGUCCUACCUGAUUUGAGGUCAAAACGUAAAGUAAUUGUCCAGAGGACGAUUAGAAGCCAGACUCAUGAGUAUCCCACAGACAGUACAAAGCGUAGAUAGUUAUCACGCUAUGCAGCCCAUGAAACAAGUCCAAGCUAAUGCAUUCAAGGAGAGCCGACCGAAGUACAACGGCCAGCAGGCUCCC
rnacentral:misc_RNA from 1 species